GCUGUUGUUGGGACGGCAGGUUAAGCCUUCAAAAGAAAAGCCUUGCUCGUGUGGUGAGCCUGCCUGGUGGCCAGCUCUGGUGUUCUCUCCUCAGCCAGCUAGUGCUAAAAUUACCUUCUCUGUCAUCGAGGGGAGAAAGGCAAUGUUGGAAAGAGUGGAUUUUGUCCUAGGUUUCCCAAAUGCAAUGGAUCACCAUCAGGAAAUCUGUAGCAAAUCAAUGCUGAAGCUUGUCAAGCACUAAGUGAAUACUGCCACGCAGAGUAAAGACAGUGGGUUACUUUCAGUUAUUCCUACUUUGUGUUGCCACCUGCCACAGAAUCCAGCUGCAGGAACAGCUGAACAGGUAAACUAUCUUGUGAAGAAUUUACUGGAUUGAGAGAAGCGAGGGUCCUAGCACCCAAAAGCACCACCUGUGGGAGGAAAUUACCUUAUGAUGGGGGUGGGAUGGAGCUUGGCGACCAUCAUCUGGCAACUCUGGAGACAGUGUUUUACAGCAAGAGGGCCAUCUGUAGAAUCUGCACUCAAAAAUCUCAACUCUGUGAAAUGCUUCUUUUAAAUA